rnacentral:ribozyme from 1 species
AAAAAAUAUUCAUAAAUAUGGGAUUUUUUCGAUUAAUUUUAGUGUUUCUGAUAAGCAGCGACGAAUAAUGGGGUGGAUUUCAGCUUUGAUGGAUGAUAGAAUAGCUCACGUACAUUAAUAAUCCCCUGUAGCUCAACGGUAGAGCGAGAUCCUGUCAAAAUAGGCAGCUCCCGGCAGUAAUGCCGAGAUGAAAAUCGGGCUAAUUCGGGGAAGCCCUGAGAGUAAUCGAAGGGUAAUCCCGAGCUAAAUCCCCGCUGUGGCGGGGUAAAUGUGUAGAGACUAUAUACCCGGCUCCCGCAUCUUGGGAUGAUUAGAUAGUCCAGACCAUUUGGUAACAAGUGG